GUGAACGCUGGCGGUAGGCCUAACACAUGCAAGUCGAACGGCAGCACAGUAAGAGCUUGCUCUUACGGGUGGCGAGUGGCGGACGGGUGAGGAAUACAUCGGAAUCUACUUUUUCGUGGGGGAUAACGUAGGGAAACUUACGCUAAUACCGCAUACGACCUACGGGUGAAAGCAGGGGAUCUUCGGACCUUGCGCGAUUGAAUGAGCCGAUGUCGGAUUAGCUAGUUGGCGGGGUAAAGGCCCACCAAGGCGACGAUCCGUAGCUGGUCUGAGAGGAUGAUCAGCCACACUGGAACUGAGACACGGUCCAGACUCCUACGGGAGGCAGCAGUGGGGAAUAUUGGACAAUGGGCGCAAGCCUGAUCCAGCCAUACCGCGUGGUGAAGAAGGCCUUCGGGUUGUAAAGCCCUUUUGUUGGGAAAGAAAAGCAGCAGGUUAAUACCCCGCUGUUCUGACGGUACCCAAAGAAUAAGCACCGGCUAACUUCGUG
rnacentral:rRNA from 1 species